CCGAGCCAAGUCGGCGCAGGC
rnacentral:snRNA from 1 species